rnacentral:lncRNA from 1 species
UCUUGUGCAACCCCAAACAACUUUCCUAGAUAAAUGACUCAUUGUUUUUACUCAUUACAGGGUGUAAAGCUGAUUCACUACAGCAAGCCUCGUACACUUGGCAGGGUUAUGAAGUUUCUGUGUUUAGGCGGCAUCGAUCACUUUGAAAUACCUUCUAAAUAGAAUGACUGAAUUGAUGCGGCUGUUUGGUGCCAUCUGUGGUGUAAAUGUCUUCUGUCUUCCUUCAUGCACAUACAGAUGAAUUCUCUGUAGUUUCUCCAGAGGUGAUAACGACAAGGCUCCUUCCCUCUGGAAACACAUGCAACUUUGCUGGCAUAAUAGAAACACCGAAAGGGAGAACCAGCAGCAGAUGCAGAAGCAGAAGGACUGGGAUAAGCAAGUGGAAACCUAAAGGGGCAGCUGACAACAGAGUGGUGUUGAAGCCGAUUCAUCCUAAAGGGCAGUCCACUCACCCUCACUCAAGAGAACAGAAAGGUGAAGACCAGGGUGAGAGAAAAGAGCUCCCCACCCCGCCCCACAGUGUUUUAGUUGUGGAGAACUUGAGCCAUUUCUGUUUCACUAGCAAAGAAAGGAAAAAGGAAAGGCCAAUACAAAAAGAUUUUAAUUUUAAAUACAAUAUGACUAUAUAUGCAUGCAAAUUAGGUGAGACACUCAGUGUGUCCAAGUUAAAGCAAUGUUUUAAAAACUGUAAUCUGCUUUUUGUAGAGUUCCUUAAUUCCAGUGUGUAUUACAAAAUAUAUGCAGUGUGAAUAAAACCUGAGCUUCCCUAAUAACUCAUUGGUGA